rnacentral:rRNA from 1 species
UACGUAGGGGGCAAGCGUUGUCCGGAUUUAUUGGGCGUAAAGAGCGUGUAGGCGGCUUGGUAGGUCCGCUGUGAAAACUCGAGGCUCAACCUCGAGAUGUCGGCGGAAACCACUUGGCUAGAGUCCGGAAGAGGAGAGUGGAAUUCCUGGUGUAGCGGUGAAAUGCGCAGAUAUCAGGAGGAACACCGGUGGCGAAGGCGGGUCUCUGGGCAGUUACUGACGCUGAGGAGCGAAAGCGUGGGGAGCGAACAGG